rnacentral:tRNA from 1 species
GGGAAUUUAGUUCAGAGGCAGAGUGUCGAACUCCAGAUUCGUAGGUCAUCGGUUCAAUCCUGAUAGUUCCCA